UACGUGGGGGGCGAGCGUUGUCCGGAGUUACUGGGCGUAAAGGGCGCGCAGGCGGUCUGGCAAGUUUGGAGUGACAGUGUUCGGCUUAACUGAGCAAGGCCUUCGAAAACUGCUAGACUUGAGCACUCAAGAGGGACAUAGAAUUCCGGGUGGAGUGGUGAAAUGCGUAGAUAUCCGGAGGAAUACCAAAGGCGAAGGCAGUGUCCUGGGGAGUGUCUGACGCUCAGGCGCGAAAGCGUGGGGAGCGAGCAGG
rnacentral:rRNA from 1 species